rnacentral:rRNA from 1 species
AUGAACGCUGGCGGCGUGCCUAAUCCAUGCAAGUCGCGCGAACAGACGAGGAGCUUGCUCCUCUGACGUUAGCGGCGGACGGGUGAGUAACACGUGGAUAACCUACCUAUAAGACUGGGAUAACUUCGGGAAACCGGAGCUAAUACCGGAUAAUAUAUUGAACCGCAUGGUUCAAUAGUGAAAGACGGUUUUGCUGUCACUUAUAGAUGGAUCCGCGCCGCAUUAGCUAGUUGGUAAGGUAACGGCUUACCAAGGCAACGAUGCGUAGCCGACCUGAGAGGGUGAUCGGCCACACUGGAACUGAGACACGGUCCAGACUCCUACGGGAGGCAGCAGUAGGGAAUCUUCCGCAAUGGGCGAAAGCCUGACGGAGCAACGCCGCGUGAGUGAUGAAGGUCUUCGGAUCGUAAAACUCUGUUAUUAGGGAAGAACAAAUGUGUAAGUAACUAUGCACGUCUUGACGGUACCUAAUCAGAAAGCCACGGCUAACUACGUG